rnacentral:lncRNA from 1 species
GAUGUUGGUACUAGCACUGAUGUAAGAACACAAUAUAAUAAGCCAAGGAUGGUUGGGAUGUGAGUUUUACAUACUCAAAGUGGCUUCAAAAUUCAAAAUGUAAGUUCUAACACAACCUCUCAUAUUUAGGUGAAUUCAUUAUCUGAUUUUCUGUUGGAUUUUGGCAGCCUGGAAUAUCCUCUACAAACUUUAAGAAUGUGAGGUCUUCAACAGAAGUAACUGGAGAUCUAGGCCAUCAACCAAUACGAUAUGUUAAAUGGAAAGGUAAAGAAGCUAUGACAUCAAGGCGGUUUCAACAAUUGAGAGGCAAGUAACUCAUUCAAACAAGGUCUAGGGCUGCUAAGUUGAGCCAGAAAAGCACCACUGCAAAACAAC